rnacentral:rRNA from 1 species
AGCGGCGGACGGGUGAGUAACGCGUGGGUAACCUGCCCUGUACACACGGAUAACAUACCGAAAGGUAUGCUAAUACGAGAUAAUAUGCUUUUAUCGCAUGGUAGAAGUAUCAAAGCUUUUGCGGCACAGGAUGGACCCGCGUCUGAUUAGCUAGUUGGUAAGGUAACGGCUUACCAAGGCGACGAUCAGUAGCCGACCUGAGAGGGUGAUCGGCCACAUUGGAACCGAGACACGGUCCAAACUCCUACGGGAGGCAGCAGUGGGGAAUAUUGCACAAUGGGCGAAAGUCUGAUGCAGCAACGCCGCGUGAGCGAUGAAGGCCUUCGGGUCGUAAAGUUCUGUCCUCAAGGAAGAUAAUGACGGUACUUGAGGAGGAAGCCCCGGCUAACUACGUGCCAGCAGCCGCGGUAAUACGUAGGGGGCUAGCGUUAUCCGGAUUUACUGGGCGUAAAGGGUGCGUAGGUGGUUUCUUAAGUCAGAGGUGAAAGGCUACGGCUCAACCGUAGUAAGCCUUUGAAACUGGGAAACUUGAGUGCAGGAGAGGAGAGUGGAAUUCCUAGUGUAGCGGUGAAAUGCGUAGAUAUUAGGAGGAACACCAGUUGCGAAGGCGGCUCUCUGGACUGUAACUGACACUGAGGCACGAAAGCGCGGGGAGCAAACAGGAUUAGAUACCCUGGUAGUCCACGCCGUAAACGAUGUGUACUAGCUGU